GUGAGUGGGUCGUGCGUAGGUAGGGUGCGGGAGGACGAGGCCGCCCGCUCGUUCUCCAUGGGUUUGCAUUAGAAAUUUUAGUUCAAACAAACAAUGUUUUCUGUUGCAAAGUACAAAAGCGGGAGAGUGAGAGUGAGAGAGAGCGCGACUUUGUGGGCGUGUAGCAUUGAGUUUUUGCCUUUGGCCGCCCCAGAGCUUGAUAUUCGCCAAUCUGAUGUGGCCCCAUCUGUUGGGCAAACCCAGAACUAGCCAUUCGUUUGGAUUCAAUUGCCCUUUUUUCCACCAUUUGUGUCGGUUGGAGGUGGAGUGCCAGUGCCAGUGCAUAUCUCCCACGGGAUUGUGCUCAAAAUUACCCUCCUUCUUAUAGUAGCAAGAGCUAGAGAGAGUGAGAACACAAGAGUGUGUUCUGUUCAAUUAACAGAUUUCAUUCUAAUAACCGUUAGUUUGUGGCUUUAAACUGCUGCAAUUUGUCAGGUUUUUGUAUGUGAGAAUUUCUUUGCUUCGCCAGCCCACGGACUCAUACCGUGGGCAUACACACACACACCAACGACCAGUCGUCACAUGGCAGUCCGUUAAAAACCCCUGCCACUGUGACACUAUUGCCAUCCCGCUCUAGCACACUGCGUGAGCGCACCAACGGCAAAGUGUGCAUUUGCGCUCUCCAUCGACGCUUGAAUUUGCUUCGAUUGCCGCCUGCUGUACUCUCUGGGCGCCUGGUGAAAAAGAGGGAAUUCACUUUUGGCGGGGUCUCGUUUUUCCUGGUUUGUCCAAUCGGCCUUUUGUGGGCGCUGCUGUCUGAAAUUGCCGCUCCGCCCGUCCAACAAAACACACACACGCUGUCGUACCCUCGCCCUCCGCCAGUCGCCAGUCCGAGCAGUGAUGGCAAAUUGUUGAUAAGCUGAUAACAAGGCGUCGACGGGCUUCAGGGGGCGGCUGGCAUGGCAUGGGAUUUUGGUUUGCCUCCCCUCGUCGUGUCCGUCUGACUGGCUGGAUUCUCUCUCUUGAAAAUAUACCGUUCUGUGUGAUUGUCUGCUGCUGCUGCUGUCUCUUUUCCAUUUUUAGGGGAGGUAGUUAGUAAUUUGCGUUAAAUGUGCAGCCCAGCAAAUUAAUUUGCACGGUAGGCGUGGUUGUAGGCCUCCGCCCACAUGCCCGUACAUAGCAAAAAGGCACGUGCCGUCUAUACCGAAUCGGAACAAAAGUUAUCCAAUUCCCACAGACUUUUAUACCGGUCGGCAUGAAAUUCGACAACAGCGACAAAGCGUCACAAAAACGAAACGAAAUCGCUCCAAAGCUGGGGAAAAAAAUUACCCCACAACACGCGCGGCGGCAUGUGCGGACGUGGCCGGGCCCCGUGGUGGUGGCGGACUUUUUCAGACACGUUCGGUUUUCGGUUCGGUUUCCACCAGGCGAACAGAAAUAACAGCAGGUCUUCCACCUGGUCAUGCAGGCCGGCUGGCAUCGGCAGAAACAUCAGUCGGACCGAGUACAAUGGGCCAGGCGGAAUAAUUUACCAUCAAACUUCUUGGCGAAUAAGACGAACAACUAUCAUUGCUACGAAAGGAAGGUUAGCUUUCAAUCAUCUAUAUUUGCCAACAGAUCUUGUUGACUUGUCUGACUUAUCAGAUCAGAUCUGGUCCACAUAGUAGUCCUCUACUACUGUGUAGUAUAUGUUAACCAGGUGACUUGCUUCCAUAGGCCUUUUAGCCUUGCUCUUGUCAAUUUCGACCAAGUUUUAUAGUCGAUCCAAGCUUGGACGUUGGACAAGGGUUGGAAGAACGUUGCCAGAACUUGAGGAAGUCUGCAAUGGACCGAGGACCCAUGGGCGGAACGAUCUAGGAUCAUGCACAAGAAAAACACCUGGACCCAGUGCGAAAGCGAGCUUUCUUGAUUAGAUCCCUGGGUCGGCGGCAUCAUCAUGAGCAGGCCACAUACUGCAGCCAUGAUCGCGUACGUAGCGCCAGCAUCUGGUACAUUUAUUUACCUGCACUUUUUACGACGUACAUUACCGGCAUCGUCUUCCCUCCUGCACCAUGCUUCACCUCAUCUGCUUUGAUCGGCUCUAUUUGGCGAGACGCUUUCUGGAGACAAACUGCUAUGCCGUGAUCCCCUCCUCUGACCCCCCAGCAGGUCGCACACUCUGGUGGCUAGGAAUACCUCUUGAGUGCCCGCGGAUACCGAUAUGACCAGGGGCAUCAUCACCUUUUUGGUCUUCCGGUUCAUAUAAGCAAGUGUGCGCCUGAUGAUGUCUGUCCAAUUCAGGCGCCUGACCAGCUGACAUCGCGAACUCCCAGCCGGCUCCCGCGCACGGGGCCAAGAGCCAUGUGUGCCUCUCGAGCCAUGAUUCUUGUUGCUUUUUGUCCGACAUUUUGGUCCGGCAACUGCCAUGGCCAUCUUCCUUGCGUCCCCCGCUGUUUUCUCCUCCACUGGUGAUUCCGCCGUAGUUCCUCGUCCUCUGUGACAGCCACUGGCUUGCCUGUCCUGAUGCCGCUGCAACGUUAGUGAUGAUCAGUGAGCUGCAGUGAUCGACGGCGGAGUUGUUGGUUAACGCCAACGGGAAAUAAUGUCAUUCAUUAUUUCCCCCCCAUUCAUAAGCUGCCGAAUGAAACGCUGGGCUUCAGCUUCGAGACGCGGGUUUUUGGAGUCCUUAGCGAAGUAUCAAGGAUAUUUUUCCAAAUACACGAACCUAUGGAACGGCCAGAUCGGCCCACAAAUAACGAAGAAAACAGGAAAAAUAUGACUGCAGAAAAUAUCCUGGAUCUUUGGCCCAUGGUAAGGACUUCACCAAAUCAAAUAUUUUCUUAAGAUCACAGGAAGCUGUUGCACGCCUAGAUCGGACCAUAAAUAGCGAAAAAAUCAAAAUAUGUAUGAAUCAUGAAAAUCGAGAUUUUGAUGCCGUUCGAUAGUCUGGAUCGUCACGAUCCUGGGAGAACUUGUUAUUUACCGAUCG